UUAAGCAUAUUACUAAGCGGAGGAAAAGAAACCAACGGGGAUUCCCAUAGUAACUGCGAGUGAAAUGGGAAGAGCCCAGCGCUGAAUCCGACUGCUGGCAACGGUGGUUGGAGCUGUAGCGUGAAGGUGGUCAUUAUCCGUGCGGCUUGCUGGCGUAAGUUCUCCUGAGUGAGGCUCCAUGCUAGGAAGGGUGCAAGCCCCGUGUCGCGGGCAGCUUGUGCGGAUAUAAGCUACCGUAGAGUCGCCUUGUUUGCGAGUACAAGGUGAAGUCGGUGGUAAACGCCAUCGAAGGCUAAAUAUGACCACGAGUCCGAUAGCGAACAAGUACAGUGAUGGAAAAUUGAAAAGAACUUUGAAGAGAGAGUGAAACAGUGCGUGAAACCGCUCAGAGGCAAGCAGAUGGGGCCUCGAAGGCAGAGCAGCGAAUUCAGUUGGUAGUCCGUGAGGUGUGCCGGUAUGUGAGAUUGCAAAACUCUGGCCGGCCACUGCAGCGGCUGCUGAUGCACUUUCGUUGCUUGUACGCCCCCGCCGUUGACGUUUGUUGCAUCCGCCUAGCCUGCAUCGCGGAGCCUUUGUCCUUCGGGACUCGGUGUCUCGCAGCGGGUGUGGCGCGUUUGCCCGUCAACCGGUCAUGUCUGCGUUGGGUUCAGUGCUCUAUCCGCGGCGCGGUGGAUGACGGUCGCAAGACCGGCUCUGCCGCACGUGGUGGAAUCGCGAAGGCUUUCAGCGUAGGCGCUCGGGGGUGAGUAGACGGCUGCCCAUCUAACCCGUCUUGAAACACGG
rnacentral:rRNA from 1 species